rnacentral:rRNA from 1 species
AAUGAACGUUGGCGGCAUGGAUUAGGCAUGCAAGCCGAGCGAGAAGAGUUUUGAAGCUUGCUUUAGAACUCGGACAGCGGCGAAAGGGAGAGUAACGCGUAGUUAUGUGCCCUAGGGUCCGGAAUAGCCACGGGAAACUGUGGGUAAUGCCGGAUAAUAUCCCCGGAUCAAAGGUGUGAUUCCGCCCUAGGAGCAGACUGCGUACUACUAGCUAGUUGGUGGGGUAAUGGCCUACCAAGGCAACGAUGGGUAGCGGGUGUGAGAGCAUGACCCGUCUCACUGGGACUGAGACACGGCCCAGAAACCUACGGGUGGCUGCAGUCGAGAAUCUUCGGCAAUGGGCGAAAGCCUGACCGAGCGAUGCCGCGUGCGGGAUGAAGGCCCUCGGGUUGUAAACCGCUGUCGUAGGGGAGGAGGGUUCCGUGAAGAGCGGAAUUUGACCUAUCCUAGGAGGAAGUACGGGCUAAGUUCGUGCCAGCCGCCGCCGUAA